UGUUGGGUGGUGAAAUUUUUGGCAGACACACCUCCUUGUCCCGGUGGCGGAGAAUAAUAGGAAAUCGGUUUUACCGACCAACUACUCUGUGGAGGUUCGAAUCCUUCCCCAACAG
rnacentral:tRNA from 1 species